AAUGGAGGAAACUCUGAUGCAGCGAUGCCGCGUGAGUGAAGAAGGCCCUUGGGUUGUAAAGCUCUUUCGUCGGGGAAGAAAAUGACUGUACCCGAAUAAGAAGGUCCGGCUAACUUCGUGCCAGCAGCCGCGGUAAUACGAAGGGACCUAGCGUAGUUCGGAAUUACUGGGCUUAAAGAGUUCGUAGGCGGUUGAAAAAGUUAGUGGUGAAAUCCCAGAGCUUAACUCUGGAGCUGCCAUUAAAACUUUUCAGCUAGAGUAUGAUAGAGGAAAGCAGAAUUUCUAGUGUAGAGGUGAGAUUCGUAGAUAUUAGAAAGAAUACCAAUUGCGAAGGCAGCUUUCUGGAUCAUUACUGACGCUGAGGAACGAAAGCAUGGGUAGCGAAGAGGAUU
rnacentral:rRNA from 1 species